CCUUGAAAACUCGGUCAUCUAUAUGGCCACAUGAUAUGGACCGAGCGGCUCCCUCCCCGCCUAAUUCAAGAGGUUAUGAAGGUCCUGCUAUGGGAAAUUUGCAGGAUAAGGCCGUUUCCCCUACGUAUUCCUAUGAUUAGUGCUUUAGUCCACCGAUUAUGCCUCGAAACUAGGACCUUCCCUCUCCCUUGUGGGGAAUUAGGUAUUACCCUGGUGGAUCUUACCACAAUGGGGGUGAGCAAUGAUGAGGAUCCCCUCCUAUGUGAUCCCCCAUCUGUGGGUGAGAGCAUUUGAGAUAAGGUAGAGUAAUUGUUGGGGUAGGCUCCUCUUGAAAAUCAGCGGCGUAAGAGUGGCAGGAUACCCAGCUCUUGGUUUUUAACAGCCGUGGGAGGGAUUGUGCUGACCCGAGAGGAGCAAUAUGCUCAUUCGAGGAGCACCUUAUGCUUCUGAGCAAGAAAACUUCCUUCCUCGAGCCGAACGACGCCGACCGGGGAUGGGGUGGAGAUACUGGAAGAGGGGAACAUUCGAGUGGAGGAAGUGGAUGUCCCUGGUGUGGGUGAGGACGCCUCUGAUCCGGAUGAUGAGGAUUUGGCUGCUCACCCCUCUGCCCCUCAAGGUGAUGGUGCAGAGAGAUCAUGCACCAGUCAUAAGAGAACCAGGGAGACGGGUAGAGAAAGUGCAUCGAGAGGUGAAUGAGCUCGUAGCGAAAUUCUUGUCGCGGAUAUAGUAGAGGAUGUCACUCGCCUAGCCGCGAUUUAUCUUGAGGUUCCUCCCCCUAUGGCCAAUAAGGACUUCCCAGUAGCUGAUAUAUUUAGCCCCUCAUUCCCCUCCUGAUGAUUGGGUUUCAUCUCUUGAGGAUGAGUGUACCCUUAGGGGCUUCCUGGCGUAUCUCUUGGGGGAACCUUCUUUUUCCUGAUACUUCCAAGAGAUCACCCCGUGUCAAUGUUUAUGGGUUGUUAAGGAAAUCAUCUACCUUUGUAUAGUGGCUUGAGGGCCAGCUAUCCUAGUUUUUCUUCUCAAUGGUGCGCGAAAGGCUUCUGUAGAGUGGUGUCUUCACAGCUUUUCUUUAGGUAAGAUGCUUCCCGUAUGUGUAUUUUCAAAUUUUAUGGCAGUUAAUGUCUUAUCCUUUUCAUCUUUAUACAUCUCUGGGCAUGGGAACAUAUUGUUGUCACUUGUCCCGUUCCUUCAAGGGAGGCCGAGUAUUUUCCCAUUAGCCAGCGAUGGGCGAAGGAUGGCUUGAGAAGGUCCAAUGCUUCUCAGUCUCUCAUUAUACCCUAAUUUUUAACUUGUUGAAAGAGCAAGAGUUAUCGAAUAUUGUCCCCUUUGUGCAUGAAUUCUUUUCUUGACCCCUUUGCUUGCGUAUUUACAAAUUUCCUUAUCUUUAGAUUGACUGGUACCCUUAUGCAAACGUUGAGAGCCCUAACCUAGUUCGAGAUUUCUCAGGUGUGUUUCCCAUGACAUCCCUUCUUAUUUACGUGGGUAUAUAGAAGCUGACCACCAUGGUCGAGUUUUAGGAACUGUGGUCAUCCUCAACUAGGUUUACUGCAGACUCCCGUCUUUACUUUCCCUAAGAUCAGUGAUAUUCGGAGAUACCGAAUUGUCUUGGAUCCUUCAUUGCGCAAUUGGGAAACCGUCAUGACCCCCAGGAGGCUGUUCCUGAGAUGGUAACUUCUGUGGUAUUCGAGGCAUAUUGUCAGAAGUAUUAUCGGUCUGUUCGAUCUUUUGUCUUCUGUUCCCCGUGGUUCCGUUGAUUCGCUCGUGAUUUCAUAGAUCUGGGGCAGAUGAGAGAAGAGGUGUCAGAAAGUGGAGCAGCUUUUCUCUUUAGACUCACUUUAAUAAGUUGCAUCACCAAUUUCACGAAGCUUCCCCGAUUGGCGCCCCAUUGGAGCAAGAGAGAGACGGUUUGCCACACUUGGCCCCAUCUUCAUCAGAUAUCCCUUCCACUAAUGCUCCUCCCUCUAUGCAAUUAGAUCCUUUGGGGACUAUUGUUUGGGAUAUAGAGCGCCUUCGGGCUCAAGUCACGUUUCUUCAUGCUGAGAGGGAUCAUGCAACGGUGGACUUUGAGGACAAGGAGGAUAUGGUGAGGAUUCUGGAGGCUGCAUAUAUUGGGAAGGGUGGUGACCUACUGCCCAUGAGGUGAUUAGCUAGAGAGCGCAGGGUUCCACCUCCUCCUCAGGAGGGGACUUUUGGUCAAUUUGUGGCUAGGUCAGGAAGUCGAAGAUCUCAUGGGUAGGGCGGCCAUAGCUCUUCUUCAGCGGGUGUUGGGUCUUACUAGAUUGGUGGCGACCAGGAAGCCUCUUCUGCGAAUCCUUCCCCAAGUGGGCAGUAGCCUUCCUCGACUUCAAACCUUUUUAUGAAAAUUUGUUGUUUGAGGGCAUAUGUGCCCCGUCAUGGUUGACUUGUUGGGUUUGUAAUAAUUUUGCUUAGCCACCAUACUUUUUGGCUUUAUCAUGGUUGAUCUUUAUCCCCUUUUUGCUAAUCUUAUGGUAUUCCCAUCGAUUGCAUGUA